rnacentral:rRNA from 1 species
GGGAAAAGCUCAAAUUUGAAAUCUGGUAGCCUCAGGCUGCCCGAGUUGUAAUCUAUAGAAACGUUUUCCGCGCUGGCCCAUGUACAAGUCUCCUGGAAUGGAGCGUCAUAGAGGGUGAGAAUCCCGUCCUUGACAUGGACUACCAGUGCUUUGUGAUACGUUUUCAAAGAGUCGAGUUGUUUGGGAAUGCAGCUCAAAAUGGGUGGUAAAUUCCAUCUAAAGCUAAAUAUUGGCGAGAGACCGAUAGCGAACAAGUACCGUGAGGGAAAGAUGAAAAGCACUUUGGAAAGAGAGUUAAACAGUAUGUGAAAUUGUUGAAAGGGAAACGAUUGAAGUCAGUCAUGUCUAUUGGACUCAGCCGGUUCUGCCGGUGUACUUCCUUUAGAUGGGGUCAACAUCAGUUUUGAUCGCUGGAAAAGGGCAGGAGGAAUGUAGCACUCUCGGGUGAACUUAUAGCCUCCUGUCGUAUACAGUGGUUGGGACUGAGGAACGCAGCAUGCCUUUAUGGCCGGGGUUCGCCCACGUACAUGCUUAGGAUGUUGACAUAAUGGCUUUAAACGACCCGUCUUGA